CCUGGCGGCUUUUGAAGGGCAGAGGCAAGGGGAGCGAGGCUGCGCCACUGCGCAUGCGCGGAGCGCUCUCAGCCUCACAAGAUGGCGGCGUGCAGUCGAGUAGGCAGGAAGGUACACCUGUGUAAGUGUGAGGUCUGCGCUGCCUCACCUGUAGCCCCUCUCGGCGGUGUCACCGGCCAGGGGCUCCCAUUCCCCCCCCGCGCCGGCUCUGUGUAGUGGUGCAGUCCGGGUUCCCCGAGGGGGGCGGGCACUCCAGCCUGUGCAUUAGGCUCUGCCCUGGCUCCUCGCAGGUGGGCGGUGCACGUGCAGCCCCAGAGCUCCCGCGGACCCCUUCCCCGGCUUGGCUGCAUGGAGAGCCAGGGUGGGGUCUGAUGCAGUGCUGGCCCCAGCGGUACUUCUUCCGGGGGCUCCAGAGUUGCACUGGCCACAGUGCGUGGCUGGGCCCUGGGCCCCUGUAGUGGGGCACUUUGUCUGUUGACCCCAGGCUUUGGAAACGCCAGGUUCUAGGGGGUCUCUAUCAGUGGGACUCUGGGUGCCCGCAGCACUGGGGUAUGAGCAGCAGUCAGGGUUGGAUCAGUGCCUAAUUUGUGCCAGGGCUGAGCCCCAGCACCUCUGGGCUUGGCAGUUCAUAGCCACAGCACCUCUGGGCUUGCUGCAUCAGUUAUGAAUGUAAACAAAUUGCUUGAGCGCUGCCACUGCUUUCAUUACAAAUUAAGCACUGGAUUGGGGGCUUCUGCUGUCAUGAGAGUGGCAGCGGCUGCACCCAUGAUCGCCUCCAGUUCAGCUGCAGUGAGGAAACUCACCCUCAGGGUGGGGUGCUUUCCAGCAGUCACUCUCCUGCCUUGCACACACAGCAGCUGGCAGGCUCAGGGCUGGCCACGUGAUCCCAGGAACAUGUUUCUGUUGGUGCUGGCUCAGAUCCUUAAGCAACUGACUUCCAUUGUCACUCAGCUAGUUACAAUUCAGAACCCAACAUCUCAGCACACACACACUGAGUUGGGGGGUCUCUUCUGUUGGUUCUAAUCUGCUCACAUGUAAAACCAAGGUUUAACUGGUGAAGCAGGAUUCAACCAACCAUAUUGGUCCCUUGUGCCUCCCCCAUCUAACUGCCUGUAUUCACCUCUUGUCUUAUAUGUAGACUGUAGCUCUUUGGGGGCAGGGACUGUCUAUUUGUUCUGUGUUUGUACCACACCUAGCACAAUGGGGUCCUGGCCUGUGACUCAGACUCCUAGGCAUUACCACAAAACAAAAAAUUAAAAGUUCUCACCCAGAUAACCAUAGCCAAUUUUGUAGAAAGAGAUGAUAUUCCUAGAAAUACCAUUGGUAGAAUAAAAUACGCACACUGUGGAUCUAAAUCACAACAUGAAAAUACAUUUUGUCAUUUAAUACCCCUGAGGCUGAGUAGUAUUUGGCAUCUUUGUCUGCCCCAAGCUAUACUGAUUAUUAAACUUCUGCAGGAGAUGGGACCAGUGGAGAAUGACUCAUGUAGAACUGGAGGAGGAAAGAUGCAGCAGAACUCCUCCAAUAGUACUGCAGCUUUUGUUAUCUAAGCUUGAAUCUGGCUUGUAUUCACUGCUUCAGGUUUCAGCUCUUUAUCUGCAGAGGGCAGUGUUAAGGAAGGACUCACCAGCUGGGCAGAGUUUAAACCAGUGACCAGUGUUUAAAAAUAAGUCACCAGUUACCAAGUGUAAUCACCAUAGCAUCUGAGAUAUUUUAAUAUAUCAGAGAUAACAGACUUGUCGGUAAUGGUAUGUCUACACUGCAAUGUAAGAUCAGACUCAGAUUCAAACUCUACCCCCGUACCCUUCUGUCUAUACACAAAUCUCUUGGGCUCAGACUUGGACCAAGGGUCCUAGGACCCCACAGGGGUGGAGGAUCCCAGCCCAAGACCAGCUAGGACCAGGGUUCAAGCCCUAUCGUUGUGCAGCAUGGACACAGCAAUGCCGGAAUCAAGCCCUGGGAGUCUGCCAAUCCUAUCCCACAGUCCUAAGGGCCAGUGUUCUUUGUCCCUUCUAUCCCACCAGUCACCAAAUGACUCCUACACAACAGAGGCAACCCCCUUUGUUCACCAACAGAUCAGUGCUUAACUCUCCCAUUUUAUUCUGACUUCUGAGCUGCAGACACAGUGAACCUUCUUCUGCAUUUGCAAUGGCCACUGACCAGAAGUCCUUUGCUAAGCGCGCUGCUUUCUGGCCACAGAAGCACAGCCAGAUUUUGGUAAAUCUCUUGUGUCAGGUGAGCAAAACAUUCAAUUUUAGUAAGAGUACCAGGAAACUCAAGUAGACUAAGGAGGGGACUGUUAUCCAACAUGUGGUCAGCUGUUUAAUCAGCAACACUGGUGCUUUAUGGAUAAUACAGACUCUUGGGGUGUGUUUAAAUAUGUUUAAACAUGUUUAAAAUGUCAUGUCAUGUUUGGUAAAUACAAGAAAUUCCUUUGAAGCGUAUUGACUCAUUUGCAGACAGAAUCCUUUCAGGGAUUCCAUAUCUGGCAAAUGCAGCUAUGGUUCAAGCAACCAUCACUUGAUGCUGACAAUUAUUGUCUGGAAUCCAGUCUUCCAUUUUUUAUUAUUAUUUAAGAAAAGGUGGUGAGACAGCUGAGUCUCUGGUGCAUCUGAUCUCCCUGAACUUUGUCAGUCGGGGAUCUGAUCUAGGAAUGCAAUGGAGACUGCAGAGGUUGGACUUGUGGAUGGUCUCCCACUAGUGAUGGAGGAAGAGGAUGUUUGAGGGGUGCAAUUUUGGGGCUUUAUUUUCUGAUUGGUAGUUUUUGGUUUGGGGUGUGAGAAGAAGCUGCUGUUCUUACAGUUUAAUAUAUGGCAGAGCCGUUUCUUGUUUUGUAUAGCAAUCAGAAUAAAUACAAACAUUAACAAGUAAAUCAGAUUGGUACCCAUCAGUUUAGGAUGAUAAAGAUUUUGUUGCAGACAAAUCAGGGUGCAUGGUCUGCCUUAGUCUCAACAUUUCAUGUGGUAUCACUGGUGAUUAUGUUUAUGAGAUAGGUUGGAAUGCAUUACCCCGAUCCUGCAAUGAACUUUGCACAGGUAGACCUCUGCAACUACACAGAACCCCAUUGGUGCAGAGCAGGGGUGCCGGAACAGGGGGGGCCAGGGGGCUAUUCCCUCCCACUUUUUACUAGCUGUAAGGGAGAGUGAUGGGGGGAGAGGGUGGAAUGGUGCAAGGGUAAGGCUUAAGGGGGAAGAGGCAGCGUGAGGGCAGGAACUGGGGGCAGCGUGGGUGGGGUGGGGCCAUGGUUCAAGUGCCGGUGCCGCCCCCCCCCACUCUUAGGGAAAGAAAGUCCCUGCCUGCAGCUUUCUGUACAGGCCACUGUUCCUGAAGAUGCGUGCAUCAUGCACCUUUCCAGACCAGCCUGCAUUGAUGUCCAUGAAAUGCCCCUGGUAAUCCACAAGCACCUACAACCCCAUGGAGAAGUAUCUCUUCCUAUUGAUGUAUUCUGAGGUCGGGGGCCAGCUCAGCACAUAGCUCCAGGAAGGUUGCUUUAUUCAUCCUAAAGUUCUGUACCCACUGGUCUUCAUCCCAAACCUGCAUGACAACGCGAUUCCACCAAUCAGUGCUUGUUUCCCUAGCCCAAAAGUGACGGUCUACUGUAUGCAGCUGCUCUGUGACUGCCAAAACACUGAUAAGUUGCUGCUGUCCAUAUCACACUCAGGUGCCUGCGAUUCAUCCUCUGUCAGUAACUUUGCGAGUAACUCUGUUGCCAUGCGUGAUGUCCUCAUGAGAGUUAACAGCGCAUAGGAGAGAAAUGUGGGAUCCAUCCUCUCUCACUGCAGAUGCUGGUGCGCACUACAAAGACUUACAGUUGGAAAAACGGCGCGACGGGAAAGCCAGAACGUCGUGAAAGGAAGCCAGAAACCAUUGGAGGGCUGGGACACAAAGUGGUGCAUGACGGGGUAUUUUGCACGUCCCAGGACGUGCCGCAUUCCAUUUCCGCCUUCCCACAACACCUAGCGACAGAUGGUGUUGCCAAGCACUGUGGGAUACAUACUAUGCUGUCGACAAUGGUGCCCCGAAUGUGGACACGAUCUGUUGAAAGAAGGAGCAAAUGUAGACUCACUUUGGCGACUUUACUUUUGUCAGUUUUUUUCAUGUCAACAUUAAUUUCAUUGACAAAACUUGCCAGUGUAGACAAGCCCUCACUUUAAGUGUGAUGCAAUAGGCAGAUUUAGUUUCUGAGAGCUUUACGAUAUGACAGAGAGCAGCACCUCUCCUCCCCCGCUGCUGAGAAGGGGGGGCAGUGGGUGAUUCUCAAUGGCAGAUUAUCCCUGGACCCAUUAAGCACCUCUUUCCCCCUCCCUUAUUCACAUCACCCUUGGCUUAUAGGUUCCCAACCCUGGUGCUGAGAGGAGAGAGAACAUCACACUUCUUCCCACUCCCUUGCCCCAGCUUUGCUGCCUUCUCAGCCACUUGCACACACUUCCUCCCUCUUUUGGCUCCUGGAAAAGGGGCAAGAAAGAGGACAAUUUCCCACUCUUUUCUCCUUUGUCCCCAGCUGCAUGUAUUUUUUAUGGGUUUUCCCCAUGACCCUUAUACCUCUGCAACUCUUCUUGGGUUUUCAGCAUUCCUCAGGGCUUGUCUACACUCCAAGCGCUAAAGCGGCACAAUUGUGCCCCUGCCAUGCUUCAGUGCAGACACUAUGCCGACGGGAGGGGCUCUCUCAUUGGUGUAGGUAAUCCACCUCCCUGAGAGGCAGUAGCUGGGUCAACAGAAGAAUUCUUCCAUCAACCUAGUGCUAUCUACAUGGGGACUUAGGUCAGCUUAACUACGUUGCUCCGGGGUGUGCAUUUUUAACUCUCCUAGCCACAUAACUGGGUCAACCUAAUUUUCUAGUGUAGACCAGCCCUUAGUGGCAGAGUAAAACUGACAACUAUAGCAUCAGUUUCACAGCUGGUACCUUUGAGAUACUGAGCAGUAAUUGUGAAACUCACUAGAGUCUUGUAAAUUUCAUGGAGCUGCUAGAAGGCUGUGUGCUGUAGCAGAGAGAGAGACCCAGUCUACUGCUGGGGUGGAGGAAUAGGAGAGGCGAGAGAAGCAGGAGAUGUUCCAUGACUACACCCCAACAUCAGCAAGAUCGGGAUCCUGAUUUUCCACUUCCUUGCACCUUGCAUAGUAAUUCACACCUGUCCAAAGUAGAUGUAAAAUACUACCAAUCAGCAGGAAACAUUUACACCUGUUUCCAUGAUCUCACAAGCUAGGCAGCUGGAAAGAAUCAGGCACAGGGGCGUGGCUCUGUUACUGAUCACAGCCUUCUAGGGAGUGUUACAGCUGCUGCCUAUAUAAAUCUGAGCAGAGAGUGAAACUAAGCAGAGUCCUGACAAUUUCAGGCUGUUGGUGCUAGUCCUGUUGGGAUCCAGAAAGCGGGUGGAUAGGCGGUCAGGCAGAAACCCACCCACUACUAAAGGAUCUCCCCCAGACUAAGGGGAGGAUCUACAGGUCUGGGAUUCCAAAUAAUUGCAGGGGACAAUUAAUGAGAUAAUAGGAAUGGGAGUGAGGUCACAGGGCUAAAUGAAGGGAACCGGAUGGGGACACCGAGCAGAGAACCCCAAACAGCGCCCACUGCUCCUCGAAGGUGUCAAGGGAGCCAGCAGAUGCUGUUGGUGUUAGUUCCAGGCAGAGUAAUUUUCCUACUCAUCCUAGCAAACAGGUGAAUGCACUUUCAAGCCUUGUGAGUGUAUAGACUGUAGAACUGGAAAUGGUCCCAGUGAAUUUAUUUCUGCAGAUUUUCAAGUCUGUGAAAUUAAAAGUAAGGUGAAUGUUUCUAUUUCUGGAUCUUUGCUCCCACUGAUCAGCUGGCUGGCAGAGUGGGGUAGUUCUUGUGUCAUCACUGCCAUAGCAACACACAAGUGUCCGCAUCCUCUCCACUUGCCUUCAGCUACAUCUGACCCACUGUGUGAAUCAGUGGUACAGCUAGGAGUGGAAAUUUGGGUAGUUCUCAGUGUAUGGGGGAUGGAUAGUGACUGACUCAUGCUAGGAGUGUGAACAUUGUGGCUUGGGCUAGCCCCCCAAGUCCAGCCCCCUGGGUCUUAGGUAGGGAAGAAGCAGAGGAAACUAAACUGGCUGAAGCAGGUGUUUGCGUACACUUACAGCCUUCGGGGAGGAAACACAGGGUGUGAGAUGCAGCCUGGGCCCCUUGUGGCAGAGGAACUGUGCCAACAUCCACAUGGGGAUGCAGGGUCUGUGCUGGGAGGUUUGCAUUUGGUGUGAGGGUGGCUCUCUGUGGCAGUGACCCCGCUCCUAUUUUUGUGGGGAAGGACUCUCUAGGAAACCCUUUCAGUCAGGGUUGUUUACUAUGAGAUCAUCACUGGGAAUCCCCAUCUGAACAGCAUUAAGCCUGUGGAACAAACGGGCAGGGCAGGGCUGGGCCCUUAUUGCAGCCAGAGAAGACUAUGUAUGUGAAUAAUUCUGUUGAAGUCAUUAGGACUGUUUACGUGCAUGAAGUUCAACAUGUGAAUAAAGCCUGCAAGAUCAGGGCCAAAGGCAGCAAAUCCCAGCUGAAGACUGGCUGGCUGAGGGGAUUGGUAACAGAUAUGGAGAUUGGCACUUAAAUCCUAAAUGGAAUGAGCUUGUUCCUGCUACUGUUAAGAUCCAUGAGAAGGCUCCCAUUGAUACCAAUGGGGCAGGAGCAGCCCUUAUGACCUCAUUACAGAACAACCGUAUCUCCUAGUGAAAUAUCAUUACCUCUGGGCUGGAAUGCUGCAGCUCUGUAACAACGCACAACAAUGCAACACAAAGUAAGGAACAAUCUUGAACUGAUGCAAUGAAAGUGACAGUGCAUAACACACAGAAUCACCCCCUAAUAGCAACCACUUAAUUCAUAUCUUGUUUUUCCCUAUUGAUAUAACUCUGGCUAAGGUUUUUUGGGGUUUUUCACAGGCAUAUCCCAUCAGCCUGUACGAUGUUCUGUGACAAGCUGGGGUGGGAGUCACAAAGAUAUUUAGGUGCCUGUGAAUCCAGCAAUUGCUUCUUAUUGAUGCUACCCACUGCAAAGUUUGCUUGCUUAUAGGAACUUUUUCCUACUAUGUCUGUCUGCAUCUGGUCCUUUAAGCUUGGCAGAGCCAAGCAGCUGUAGCUACUGUGCAGCUGGUUUCUGCUUGCUGCAUUUCUCUUCCAGUUCGAAAAAGAAGUGACUAAGCAGGGAAACCAGGAAAUAACGGUCACUCCCUGAAACGGUCGAUCUUGGCUAGUCUUGGAGGGACCAAAAAUGUAUUAAGGUAAAAGCAAAUCCCAAUAAAUUUAAAUAAAAAACAAGAACAAAAACAGGGGCCCAAUUCUGCCCUUAUUUGUAACCAUGUGACCUUAUGCCCUUGACGAGGGGCUUGCUUGGGUAUAACUGAGGGCUGACUCUGGUUCUUUGUUACUCUAUUUUCUAAGAAUGCCUCUUUCUCUCUUUUUGUUUUGUUUGUUUUUCAGUUCUGUGCACAGGUAACAUUCUGUGCUGCAGGGAAUGACAAACCUCACACCACACACACACUCAAGCGACCAGUAAACCACACAGGAAGAAGCUAGCAGCUAUCUCAGUGUCAUGUGACACUUAUUUAAUUUUCAUAAAAACCCCCAUGUUAAUAGGAACAAUAAUGAUGAAUCUUAUUUUAUAUUUCCAGAUACAAAGUAAGUUAAACUCGAGUUAAGUCUGUGGGCCUAUCAGUAAUAUAACAGUAAAAAUACUGUAGGGAUGUUGGAUGUGACACACUGACAAUAUCCUGGACAAAUCUUCUGGAAUUAAGAUAAACUUUACUGAAUGAAGUUAAAGCUUACGAAUUAGAUUUAAAACCUUUGGGGUCUAUUGUAUUAAAAAUGCCGUUCUGGUGUGUUGUUGUGGCAUUGUAUGUACCUUCUCUAGUAGGAGGGAAUAUUGUCAUUCCUAUUACCAGCCCUUUGAAGACACUCCUAGAAAGGUGCACAGACACUAGUUCACACUGGAUUCUUCAGGGACUACCAGACAAAGAAUCAGAGGGGUAACCGUGUUAAUCUGUAUCCACAAAAACAACAAGGAGUCGGUGGCAUCUUAAAGGCUAACAGAUUUAUUGGGGCAUAGGUUUUCGUGGGUGAUAACUCCACUUCUUCAGAUGAAAGCUUAUGCCCCAAUAAAUCUGUUAGCCUUUAAGGUGCCCCUGGACUCCUCAUUGUUUCAGACAAAGAAAGGAUUUUUGGAUAAAAAACCUGGUUUUAAAUUGGCUCAGGGCCUUCUUCCUGAUCCAGAAAAUGGACAGGCCCUUGGCUCACGGAUGCUCUGGGGAAGAGCUGUGUGCUAGCUCUGUUGAACUUGUGACCACCAAAGGCACCACCGCUCCUUUAUGGGGUUUUAAAGGAGGGCUCCAGCCAGAGCUUCAAUCUCCCCAUGUGUAAAAGCAGCUAAGGAGACUGACCACCUGUGCACAGCGCUGUGAGCACUAUGAUUAAGCAGAGCUAGGUAAGGUGGUGGGGGUGCAGGCUGAGGACAUGGGGAGGAAAAGUUGUUUUUGCAGAAAUCCCAGUUGCAGGUGCUGGAGAAGGGGGUAGUGGCAGGUGAGGGGACAGAGGUGUUGAGACUCUUUAUCUUGAGCAAAAAGAAAAGGAGUACUUGUGGCACCUUAGUAUUUUCCUCAAGUAUUUUCCUCUGCAUGCAGCCAAUGAAGUGAGCUGUAGCUCAUGAAAGCUUAUGCUCAAAUAAAUUGGUUAGUCUCUAAGGUGCCACAAGUACUCCUUCUCUUUUUGCGAAUACAGACAAA